rnacentral:lncRNA from 1 species
CCUGCGUUGAUAUUCGAGGAAGUAGCUCUCGACACGAGGGAUAUACAAGAAAGACCUGCUCUAGAUCCCCAAGUCUCCAUGGUUGUUCUUUUUAACAUCUCUUUCUAUUCUUCUAAUGUAAUGCUAUCAGUCACCUCGUACUAAACCCCACUGCGCAUCCUGUGUAACAUCAAGAAAAGGGAAAGCUCAUACUACCACAGCAGGAGGUCGUCUCCCAACACAUUCCCCCUAUAGUUGAUUUGCCAUAGAUUGAGGCAUAUCUUUUUGAGAUGGUCACGUCAGCGGUGGCAAGUGGAUCAUUCAUGCUCAGACUUAACUGAAAAAGAAAGAUUCCCUUUUGUUACCGACCUUCUUCCCUUGACUGGUGUUUUAGGUCUUCUUAUCCAAGAGGACAUUUUAAUCUUGCUUUAGAGGCCCGAAUGCUUAUCAUUAUUGCCUUCUAAACUUCUUUAUAUCGAGGGAUGAGGAACCAUAUUAUCCUAUAUUCCUUAAACCUAUGUAGUGAGUCAUGUAUGUGGCGUGUUUAAAUUAGG